rnacentral:rRNA from 1 species
UAUGUCUUGUGUGCCAGCCGCCGCGGUCAUACGUAGGCGGCAAGCGUUGUCCGUAAUUAUUGGGCGUAAAGGGAGCGCAGGCGGGAAACUAAGCGGAUCUUAAAAGUGCGGGGCUCAACCCCGUGAUGGGGUCCGAACUGGUUUUCUUGAGUGCAGGAGAGGAAAGCGGAAUUCCCAGUGUAGCGGUGAAAUGCGUAGAUAUUGGGAAGAACACCAGUGGCGAAGGCGGCUUUCUGGACUGUAACUGACGCUGAGGCUCGAAAGCUAGGGUAGCGAACGGG